rnacentral:rRNA from 1 species
AGCUAGUUGGUGAGGUAAUGGCUCACCAAGGCAAUGACGCUUAACUGGUUUGAGAGGAUGAUCAGUCACACUGGAACUGAGACACGGUCCAGACUCCUACGGGAGGCAGCAGUGGGGAAUAUUGCACAAUGGAGGAAACUCUGAUGCAGCAACGCCGCGUGGAGGAUGACACAUUUCGGUGCGUAAACUCCUUAUAUAUAAGAAGAUAAUGACGGUAUUAUAUGAAUAAGCACCGGCUAACUCCGUGCCAGCAGCCGCGGUAAUACGGGGGGUGCAAGCGUUACUCGGAAUCACUGGGCGUAAAGAGCAUGUAGGCUGGUAGAUAAGUUGGAAGUGAAAUCCUAUGGCUUAACCGUAGAACUGCUUCCAAAACUGUUUACCUAGAGUAUGGGAGAGGUAGAUGGAAUCUCUGGUGUAGGGGUAAAAUCCGUAGAGAUCAGAAGGAAUACCGAUUGCGAAGGCGAUCUACUGGAACAUUACUGACGCUCAGAUGCGAAAGCGUGGGGAGCAAACAGGAUUAGAUACCCUGGUAGUCCACGCCCUAAACGAUGCACACUAGUUGUUGCUAUGCUAGACAUAGCAGUAAUGCAGUUAACACAGUAAGUGUGCCGCCUGGGGAGUACGGUCGCAAGAUUAAAACUCAAAGGAAUAGACGGGGACCCGCACAAGCGGUGGAGCAUGUGGUUUAAUUCGACGAUACGCGAAGAACCUUACCUGGCCUUGACAUAGAGAGAACUUACUAGAGAUAGUUUGGUGCUAGUUUACUAGAGCUUUUAUACAGGUGCUGCACGGCUGUCGUCAGCUCGUGUCGUGAGAUGUUGGGUUAAGUCCCGCAACGAGCGCAACCCUCGUGUUUAGUUACUAACGGUUCGGCCGAGGACUCUAGACAGACUGCCUCCGUAAGGAGGAGGAAGGUGAGGACGACGUCAAGUCAUCAUGGCCCUUACGGCCAGGGCUACACACGUGCUACAAUGGGGCAUACAAAGAGCAGCAAUACCGCGAGGUGGAGCAAAUCUCAUAAAAUGCCUCCCAGUUCGGAUAGCAGUCUGCAACUCGACUGCUUGAAGUUGGAAUCGCUAGUAAUCGUAGAUCAGCAAUGCUACGGUGAAUACGUUCCCGGGUCUUGUACUCACCGCCCGUCA